AUUCAACUGAUGAGUCUCAAAUAGGACGAAAUGCAUGUCUUGGAU
rfam:Schistosoma curassoni strain Dakar, Senegal genome assembly, scaffold: SCTD_scaffold0003746